ensembl:snRNA U1 U1 spliceosomal RNA
AUACUUACCUGGCAGGGGAGAUACCAUGAUCACGAAGGUGGUUUUCCCAGGGCGAGGCUUAUCCAUUGCACUCCGGAUGUGCUGACCCCUGCGAUUUCCCCAAAUGCGGGGAAACUCGACUGCAUAAUUUGUGGUAGUGGGGGACUGCGUUCGCGCUCUCCCCUG